AUUAAGGUCAAGCGCGAGAAUAAGAACUACACAAGGAGUUAGAGUACCUUAGCAAAACUUUGCUAUCAGGUUGAGCUGUGAUGGGCGAUGAAGUGUUGUUGCUGAGUGGAGUUUUUGUUGAACUUAAAGUAGGCUCAGAAAGGAUACAUGUCUUCAUACAUGUAUCUCAGUUAUGCAUUUCGCUGUAAACACUGAUUAUUUCAGUUACGCCUUCCGCUGCAAACUCUGAUAAUGUUUUAGCCAAGCCCCUAACGAUGCCUUUUUCCUUUUAAGGAAUAUAACGCGUAUACAAGUUCUUUUA